UAUUUUUAUGAGCUGUAGUUUUAUAUUUUAGAGCCUCAGAAUAAUAACCACAAGGAAAUAUGUAAUUUAGGAAAGUUAAUUUUGACCUUCAGAUGAAACCUCUAACAUACGAAAUAUUUGCUGUGACGUUUGGUUUGUUCUUAAUUAUGAAAAAUUGCUUCAUAGAGGGCUUUCUGAAAACUACAGUAUUCUGGGAAGUAGUAUGGUCCAGUGGAUAGGUCACAGUACUGCAUCUCAGGAGAAUGGGGUUUUCUUCCUGGCUUUUCAAAAACCAAAAGUGCAUAAACUUUAGCAAGGCAUUUUUGCCAGAGCUAGUGUCUGCUUCCCUUUAUGAAAUAAGAAGAUCGAUCAUUAGCCUUUUAAAAAUGCAGAUGAUAAAGAAUACAUAAGUAUUACAGGGUUUAUGCACUAAUGGUCAUACAUCUCUAGUUUGUCAGACAUUGCCACCUUUAAUAACAACUUGUAAUAAUGCUGUCAGCAAAGAAUGUUUACUCUGUUUUGCAUAGUUUCUCUCUUCAGAUCAUCAGAGAUAGGAAAUGGCUAAGUCCUUUGAGGGGAUUAUAAAUGUAUUGUGUUCAGAACUCUUCAUUUUCAACUGAAACAUGUAUUCAACUCCAAUGUAAAUUUGUGCAUCAUUUCCUGUGUGAAUUUCUGUUUCCUCUAGCCCAGAUUACCUUAGGGCUUAUAUGCAACUGCAGUGGCAUUACUUUAUUAUAAAAGGAAAUUAAUUUAUGUGCCUGCAUCUAAUGGCAUGCAAUCUUUAGUAAUUACAACCAUCUGAACUUUCUUCUCCAGCUGAAGACAAGUUGCAUUCACGUCAUUUGAGGUUAGAAUUAAGCUUGUAUUUUAAAUCUGUUUUUAAGGGAGGCAUUUUCAGUCUGAGUUCUACAAAGCUGGAGAUCUAAGUAGAGAAAAUGGCAGAUACUGUUUCAAUUUAAACAAGAUGUAUUUUAUAUGGUGAUACAAGCUCCAAACUAGCUUCUCGUUAUUCCAAGUUUGUGUGGAAGUUCUUCCUUUUCCACUUUAAAAAUCUUCUUAGGACGUCUAGGUAAAACUCUGAGAGUAGCAAAAACAGUUUAACACAAAUAUUUAUGUAAAUCAUCAGCUAGGGACAAAUAACACAUAAAUAAUAUUUUACACCCAAUUAAGAAUAAAGAUUGACUGUGUGAGUACUCAAAUAUCUAUACAAUGUUUGACAAAAUAAUGCUGAGAUACCAAUACAUCUUUGGACUGUUUCUGAAUCAUAGCAGCAUAUAAUAAUUUUUAACUUUCUAUUCUUGAUUCAUCUGUUAAACUUCAUUAGAAAAUUUGCCAAGCUGUUAUUUCCUCUAUGGUGAAAACUUGAUGUUUUGAAUUAUUUCCUAUCACUCAUCUUUGGAGACAGGAUUUUGCAUUUCCCAAAUCUACGUUGUCAUCUCUGCUGGAGGUAAGAUACAAUGUUCAUUAAAAGAAAAAAUAAACAUUACAAAGAUAAAAUGUUUGUCCUAACAAAGAAAUAUUUUUCUAAUGACUUCUCCUUUUUUUCCAGGCUCCAACAAAUUUUAAUGCUGCAGAUCUGGGAUGCCACAUCAUUGUCUUCGAUGACUGGAGGUGCUCCAAUCCCAGUUGCUUAAUUGUUCAGGUCAUGCAAGUGCAAGUGCAGAUGAUUUGAAGAGGUCCGUCCAUCUCAGUGUGAAAUUAGCUGUAGUAGUACAUUGCAUAAAUAGAAGAAGUUCUCUAAAGCUUCAACUUCCUUGUUUUAAGUUAAGAGUUUUGCUUGCCCCAGCCUGCAUACUGCUUGGGCUGCAGAAAACAAACUUGAAAAAUUUAACACCUUGCGAGGUUAUGGUAGUUGUAACCAGGCAAUCAUGGUUUAAUAGGAUAAAAACUUUUAUUUUAUUUGAAGUCCUAGAAGGAUCAAAUUAUACAAAUAGAGAUCUUAACUUCAGACUGAACUUGCUCUAUUGAAAGGCAGUUUUUUUAAAGGUAGUUGAACUUUCUCUUUCCUCCCUUAGGUUUCAUUGGUGUGUUUUGGGGUUUUUCAAUUUCAAUAAUUUCAACGUAUUUGUUUACUCCUCAUAAAUAUUAAAGCCUUUCAUUUAUUAUCUCUGAAAUCCUUUGACAAGGUUGUCCAGCUGUGUAGAGCACCAGGUUUUGCUUCUAACAGGAAAAAAGAUGUGUAGAUCUCUUGUUUGUGCUGCUACAGAAAAUGAGCCAAAGAAAUGAACUGUGGUCUCUGUCAAUGAUGUAUGUUCUUUUGAAUGCAAUGCUUCUCCAUUGAAGAUUUUUUUCUUCUAACAUGGUUUGUUAGCUUUCUAAAAGGAGAUCUAACGAUGUGAAUUAAUCUUGCAAAAGGAAGGUAACAUGAAAUGUAGACUUUUCUCCUGUUCUGAACUUAGAGCAAACUUUUGCAGAGGGCUCAGUAUUGUUGCUAAAUAAAUGUAGACCCACUGUACUGUGCAUGGAAAAUAGGGAAAGCAGAGCAAUGUGUAAGUGUUCUUGGCUUUAGGAAAAAGAUACUGUGAUCAAUGAUAUCUUGCAUGUAAGUAAAACAAGAAAGUAACCUAUGCUCUGUAAUGAAAUUCAAAUAAUUUCAAUCCAAAAGAGUAUAAAAUCCCAUUCUUUCCUCCCCACCUUUCUUAGGAUGUGGGAACAAAAUGCUAUGCGUUCAUGUUGAUAUGAGAUGGGAGUUUGAGAUGGUGGCUUCAGGUCUGCAGAAUAGUGUUCAAACACAUGAAGUGUGCAUAGGAGGAUGAUAACACUGCUAAUUCUCCAUUUUUAUAGAUGCUUAUAUCAUUUUGUCCCUUAGAGGUCUGAAUAAGGUAAUUCCUAACAUCUGUUGCUCCAAAAUGAAUUUGUAUUCAGUACAAAUUUAGAAGCCAAAGUCUUGAGCAUCAAUAUUAAACUUCUUGUUUUAUGGUAGAUUUUUUGGCUAAAAAAUAGUGUGUUAGCUAAGGAAUAGAAUAUGCAGCAGCGAAACAUUCAUGAAACAUUCAUGACUUUAUUCCAUUUCUUAGUGUUAGGGCUGAAUGGGCUUUACAUAGACAUAGAUAUCGGUAUUGGGACCAGUCAGUUUAACAUCUUUGUUGGUGACAUGCAUAAUGGGAUCAAGUGUGCCCUCAGCAAGUUUACUGACCAAGCUGUGUGGUGUGGUAACAUGCUGGACAGGAGGGAUACCACCCAGAGGGACCUUGACAGGCUUCAGAGGUGGGUCUUUGCAAACUUUCUGAAGCUCAACAAGGCCAGGUGCAAGGUCCUGCACCCAGGUAAGAGCAAUCCCAAGCACAAGUAUGGGCUGGGCUGAGAAAGGACAAGUAGCCUGACAUGUCUCAGCAGUGUCCACUCACAGCCCAGAAAGCCCAACUGUGUCCUGGACUCUCAUCAAGAUAAGUGUGGCCAACAGGUCGAGGGAGGUGGUUCUUCCUGUCUAUUCCACUCUCAUGAGACCCCAUCUGGAGUACUUAUGUCCAGGUCUGGGGCCCCUAAAACAAGAAAGGCAUGGACGUGUUGGAAUGUGUUCAGAGGAGGGCCACUAAGUUGAUUACAGGGCUGGAGCACCUCUCCCAUGAAGUCAGGUUGAGAGAGCUGGGGUUGUUCAACCUGGAGAGGCUCCAGGGAGACUUUACAGCACCCUCCCACUACCUAAACAGGCCUACAAGAAGAACAGAGAUGGACUUUUUACAAGGGCAUGCUGUGUUAGGACAAGAGGGGAAUGGCUUUAAGCUGAAGGAGGGUAGCUUUGGAUUAGCCAUUACGAAGAAAUUCUUCUUUGUGAGGGUGGUGAGGUAGUGGAAUAGUGGUUAAUGGUUGCCCAGAGAAGUUAUGGAUGCCUCAUCCCCUGGAAGUGUUCAAGGCCAUACUGGAUGGGGCAUUAACCUGGUCUACUCUAAGGGAAGGUGUCCCUGCCCAUGGAAGGGGAGUUAGAAUGAGAUGAUAGUUAAAUGCAUCUUUAAGGUCACUUCAACUGAACCAUUCUAGGAUUCUACAAUUCUAUGAUGAUUUCUCAAAUAUCGGAGCCACCACCACAGCCCCAAAAGCACAACAACGGCUAGAGCCCAGCUCUGCCACUGCAGCAUGGCAGUGAAGAGCGGGUGUCUCUGGGCCAUGUCAUCCUGCUCCAGUUCCUGCAGCAGCCGAGUCAUCUCCUGUCUCAGCAUUUCUUCACGCUGCCGCAUGCGCUCACGUGUGGCCUCAUCCAGCUCCCUACUGACCAUCUGCGGGUGCUGGAUGAUGAUGUUUCGUACCACUUUAAAGAACACUCGGGCAGCCAUGGCCUGGAUGAGGAGAGAAAGAAAGGGUCAAGCGGGUCUGGGAAGGAGCGGGGAGCAGGUAUAGGAGCUGCACAGAGCUGGGAGAAGGGGAAGGGAAGAAGGAGAAGGGGUGAGGCUGCUGGCAGGGGCUUGGGCUCUGGAUGCAGGGUGAGAAUCCACAUUUCUGUCCCAGGUCUCACCCAGCCUCCCGUCACGUGCUUACCUCUGGCCCAGGCCCUGAAAAGCAGCCCCAUUGUGACCCAUCCCCUAGGAUGUCAUAGGGCCAAGGCCCAUCACAGACACUCCCAGCCCUACCCUCGCUCUGCAGCUCACAGCUGUCCCUGGCAGCCAGAGCCUUGACAGCCUCAAAGGACAGACCCACUUGGCAGGACAGAGGCAAUGCCAGCCAGCUCCAAGACAGACCCACCACUGGCAAGGCCAAGCCCAUCAGUGACGGUAGCACCUCAGGAUAACAUAUUUAAGAAGGGGGAAAAAAACUUGUGCAACACCAGCAGCUAGGAAAUAGAAGUGAGAAUAUGGAAGAGAAACAACACUGCAGACCUCCACGUCAGAGAAGAAGGAGGGGGAGUAGGCAGAGGAGAGGCUCCAGACAGCAGGGCAAAGAUUCCCCUGCAGUCCAUAGUGAAGACCAUGGUGAGUCAAGACGUGGCCCGGCAGCCCGUGGAAGUCCAUGGUGGAGCAGACAAACAUCUGCAGCCUGUGGAUAUGCCUGAAGGAGGCUUUGACUCCACGGGAAGUCCAUGCUGGAAGAGGCAACAGGGUACAGAGUCUUCCCCUAAGCAGGAAGGAGUGACAUUCUCCAGAACCCCCAUUCCCCUAUUUGCUCUGCUCCAUGUUUUUGAGAAUCUUGUAUUUUCUACCUUUGAAAACAUAAAACCCAAAUUGAAAUUAA